rnacentral:lncRNA from 1 species
UAGUUUUUUCAUGAUAAAGUUUAUAAUGAGGCUUUAAAGUCAUGUAAUAGAGGCCGUUGUAAUGAAAGGGUCUGUUAAGAGGUCUUAUAGGUAUGUAAUUGGUCUUAAAAAUUAAUGAAAUUCACCUUUUCUUCUUUAAAAAAAAAAUAAUAAUAUAGCUUACCUGUCCGUACACAAUGAUUGUUCCAUUGGUUGCAUUGACAGCAUCUGCUUCAAAAGAAAAAGAAAUACAUAUAAAACAGUUGAUCAAACCAUGAAAUUGCAGAAAUCAAUCAAUAAACAGGUUUCCCGUACUCAGAUACAGUAGGUAGAACAAGA